rnacentral:rRNA from 1 species
UUCCGGUUGAUCCUGCCGGUAGGUCAUUGCUAUCGGAGUCCGAUUUAGCCAUGCUAGUCGUGCGAGUUCACACUCGCGGCACCGAGCUCAGUAACACGUGGCCAAACUACCCUACAGAGACGGAUACCCUCGGGAAACUGAGGCUAACCCGCCAUACCGAUCUCAGGCUUGAAUCGCAGAGAUCACUAAAUGCCCCGGCGCUGUAGGAUGUGGCUGCGGUUGAUUAGGUUGACGGUGGGGUAACGGCCCACCGUGCCCAUAAUCAGUACAGGUUGUGAGAGCAAGAACCUGGAGACGGAAUCUGAGACAAGAUUCCGGGCCCUACGGGGCGCAGCAGGCGCGAAACCUUUACACUGCACGCACGUGCGAUAAGGGGACUCCGAGUGCGAGGGCAUAUCGUCCUCGCUUUCGUGUACCGUAGGGUGGUACACCAACAAGGGCUGGGCAAGACCGGUGCCAGCCGCCGCGGU